CACGCUAGUGGGCAGCCAUGGAAGAGGAGAAGAAGCAAACCCUUACCUAAACUUCAAUCCUUGAUAACUUUUGAUCUGGAGCUCCGAUCGCUGCACCGUUUGCGACCACGUGUCCGCGGCGUCGAGCUUUACAAAGCCCAAUACCUUUCAAGGAUCAAAUUGAGUUGAGGAAUGAGCGGGCAUUGGGUUGAUUGAGGCACAUACAAGGUGUGAAUUAAGUAGAUAUAUAUGCAUUGGAGUUGAAUUGUGGGCAUUUGGAAGCUUGGUGGUGAUUGAAGCUAAGCUUGCAGCUGGUUUCUCUAAGCUUGAGGGGCUAUGUGGCGACUUGAGGGGCUGCCUUGGACUAAAUAUAGUGAUCGGCCAAUGUAUGGUUUAGGUUCGUUUCACGUGUUUAAUAUGUAAGGUUUUGUAAAAACUUAGACUAGAGCACUAUAGGAUAAGUUGAAACGAUUAAUUUUUAAAUUAUUAGUCUUUAUGGUAUUGAUGGACAAGUUGAUGUGGGCAUGUGUUGAGUAAUUGAUAAUAUGGAUUGAAUACAAAUAU